UGUGAAAAACCACACAGUUUGCCAUUGUUAGCUGCUAACUAACCUGCGGUACAAACAUAAAUAACGUCUAUCAACAAAGUCCUGUCUCCAACGCGAAUUAAACACUAUAUGGGUGUUGUUCCCCAGCCUGAAGUUGAAGACGCUGUCCCAUCCACUGACCUCCACUAUGUCGCUUUUGGCCCCAGCCUGCUCUGUGAUGUCAUCCUCUGGGCUCUUGGCUGCACCAGUCUGGGAAUCCAAUAUGGCCACCGUGUCUCCUCUUUUAGCUUCCAGCAAACCACCUACAGGCAAAUGUUACAAUCCAGACUUAACAAACAUGACAACAGAACAAAAAUCAUAUACAUGGAUUUUGUGUGUGUUAUUUGCCUGGUGAUAUGAUAUGACUGUCAUGUUGAUAUACAUAGUAUUGUUUGUUUUUGAAUUUCAUACUAAUUGUAUUGAUAUUGUUUUAGAAAUAAAGUACUCAUAAGGUUU